GGCUUGUGGCAGCCAAGC
rnacentral:snRNA from 1 species